UACGGGGGGGAGCAAGCGUUGUUCGGAUUUACUGGGCGUAAAGGGCGCGUAGGCGGCGCAACAAGUCACUUGUGAAAUCUCCGGGCUUAACCCGGAGCGGCCAAGUGAUACUGUCGUGCUAGAGUGCGGAAGGGGCUACUGGAAUUCUCGGUGUAGCGGUGAAAUGCGUAGAUAUCGAGAGGAACACCUGCGGCGAAGGCGGGUAGCUGGGCCGACACUGACGCUGAGGCGCGAAAGCCAGGGGAGCGAACGGGG
rnacentral:rRNA from 1 species